UUCAGGUACAUCGAAUGAACAAUACACUCUGGCAUAUGAACAAACUGUAACAGAAGAUAUUCAACGUCAAUUAUGUAUGAAUAUAUCGCGCGAUAAUCCCAAAAAAGGAAAAGAUAUAUGCAGCCCCUUCGUGGUUUAUGAAAUAGGAGGCACAUCCGACCGACCAACAUCAUCUUGGUUCAACACAACACUCGCAGAACAAACUCCUCUUGCCAUAGAAGAACCACCUCCACUUUACGAAAUAGCUACCUGCUAUCAACCAUGUGUGAACAGGAUGUGCAAUGAUCUAGAAAAAAGAAAGAAAAUACGCAGCCCCGUUGUGAUUUACGAAACAGGUAACUUUAUCAUUGCAUUAUUUUUUAUGACUAUCACAUAUUAUCUCUGCACUAUUGUAAUGUAUGCCUACUUGGAUAUAAAGGAGCAUAUCCAACAUAUCUAAACAUGUUCAGGCCCUGAAUAUAGUCCCCAAUAAAGGUUUGCUCAAUUUUGCAUUAGAAUCAUGUCCACUUUUCUCCCGUAUCUGUAUCACUUUUCUCCCGUAUCUGUACCCUAUUCACUCUAAUUACACAUCAUAAACUUCAGAUAGUAGGCGAACAAAAAGGGUGUGCCUCGCCACAACUGAUCAAGAACAUGAAUAUGCCAUUUUAAAAAAAGUUCCCAAUUGUCAAUAUUGUGAUGCAAAAAAGUUUGAAUACAAAU